rnacentral:misc_RNA from 1 species
GAUGAAGAACGUAGCGAAAUGCGAUACGUAGUGUGAAUUGCAGAAUUCAGUGAAUCAUCGAAUCUUUGAACGCACAUUGCACCUCUCAGUAUUCCGGGAGGUAUGCCUGUUCGAGCGUCAUUUGUACCCUCAAGCUCUGCUUGGUGUUGGGUGUUUGUUCCGCCUCUGUGUGUGAACUCGCCUCAAAACAAUUGGCAGCCGGCGUACUUGUUUCGGAGCGCAGCACGUUUUGCGAUCCAGAUCAACGUACAGCGGCAUCCAAGAAGCCUUAUUUAACGCUCUUGACCUCGGAUCAGGUAGGGAUACCCGCUGAACUUAAGCAUAUCAAUAAGCGGAGGA